GGAGAGGUGGCCGAGCGGUUGAAGGCGCACGCCUGGAAAGUGUGUAUACGGCAACGUAUCGAGGGUUCGAAUCCCUCCCUCUCCG
rnacentral:tRNA from 1 species